rnacentral:rRNA from 1 species
GUGGGGAAUAUUGCACAAUGGGCGCAAGCCUGAUGCAGCAACGCCGCGUGAGGGACGACGGCCUUCGGGUUGUAAACCUCUUUUAGCAGGGAAGAAGCGAAAGUGACGGUACCUGCAGAAAAAGCACCGGCUAACUACGUGCCAGCAGCCGCGGUAAUACGUAGGGUGCAAGCGUUGUCCGGAAUUAUUGGACGUAAAGAGCUCGUAGGCGGUUUGUCGCGUCUGCUGUGAAAACCCGAGGCUCAACCUCGGGCCUGCAGUGGGUACGGGCAGACUAGAGUGCGGUAGGGGAGAUUGGAAUUCCUGGUGUAGCGGUGGAAUGCGCAGAUAUCAGGAGGAACACCGAUGGCGAAGGCAGAUCUCUGGGCCGUAACUGACGCUGAGGAGCGAAAGCGUGGGGAGCGAACAGGAUUAGAUACCCUUGUAGUCC